CUAUCCGUAGUACAAUCUAGAAACUCCUACUAUUAGAACUAAUUAUGAUCCUCCUUUCCAUUGCUCCUCUAGAGACAUUGAAUUCGUUUUCUUUCAAAUUUCUCUGGUUGAUUUCAAGUUAAUUGUAUUUAUCUUCCAAUUAUUUAGUUUUCUGCAUUUUUUCUUUGUUUAACGCACCCGGCUAUUGAUGAUGGCACUUUAAUUGAAAUCUGUUAAUUUUUGUGCUCCUUUGAAUACUUUUCUGUUGGAUCUCUACAUGCAUAGUGAUGAUAUUAUCAAUUACAUUGGUUUGGUUUGAAAAUAGGUGCAUAAUUCAAUUUUUUGGAUAAUCAAAAUUAAUUCUUCUUCCCUUAAUGAAAAUCGCAACAGAUUGUACACUUAAUUUGGUGAUUCAGAUGAAUUUCUCUAUUUACUAUCUCCUUUAACUGGUAAGUAAAGCUACUAUUGAUUUUGCGUUGUGUGAGGGAUAGUAAAUUUCCCCAAAAGGUACUGAAAUUAGACAUUUCUUCGAAGCUUUUCAAGAUUAUUGAAGCAUUCAGGGCUUCCACUGGAUGUCAUUCUAGCUCCACUCUCGAAAAAUACUAUGUGUACUCUAAUUUUUUCAGUUCUGAUAAGUUUUUUUCCCCUAUUUUUCCCUUUUUAGGUUCACCCAAUUAUUAAUAAUGAAAUUUUACGGGAUAUCAAUUUGAAUAAUGAUGCACUGAGGUUGUUUGACAAUAUUCUUGAAACAACUUGGUGAUAUUCACUUUUUUUAAGGUGCGUUUCUGUUGCAAAUUGAGCUUUACUUCUCUUUUAAUUCCAAAUUUAUAUGGGAUUUCUCAUAUUAUUGCACAUGUAAGUUGACUCAAGUUGUUAAGGACAUGCAUGUCCAUAAUCAAUUUAAGGAUGAACCAGAAGGGGCAAAAGAAUAGAAUCAGAUUGAAAGCUUGCCACCGUUUGGAAGAUCUGCCCAUUUUGUCUCCUCCAACGCCCUUCUUCUCAGAUAAAUCAAUCUUUGUUUCUCAAUCUCUUUAUAUCCCAUUUGGUUGUUCAUCUCUAUGUUUUUACCUUUGGUUCUGUCCAUGCAUGUUAUUGUUAUGGUAAUUGAAGUAUCAAAACCUUUUGAAUUUUUGUUAUUCUUGAUGUUGUUUUUUGGUGCCGUUAUGGGGUAAAGUUUGUAUUUAGCUUUUAAUCAAAGCGAAAGAUUUAGUUUUUUGAUGGGUUUAUAUAGUCUCAUGAGGGCUGAAAUGAAUAGAUAAUUAGCUGGUGCAAGAUUAUCAACCUUCCAGAAUAACAUGUCGACAAACUCCUUUAAUCAGUUAAAAAAUAAUUCCUAUUUGCAUGUCAUAAUUUGAUACUAAAAAAAGGUUCAAGCAUGUAUUGUUUUGUUACUGAUUCCCUAUAUGUGACAAAAUUAUGGUAUCUGAUAAAAUUUCAGCUAUCCUGAAAUAGGGGUCAUUGGUAUAAAGAGAAUAGAUGAUGCCCAUAAUGACUUUACAAGAGAUAUCUGUCACUUUUUCCUCUUUCUUAUAGCCAUACAAGCAAGUCUUAUAAAGCUGCGCCUUUAUCUAUUUCAUUUGCCUUUAUCUGUUUCAUUUGCCUUUAAAUGGUACUCAAGAAAUUCAAAAGAAUAUUUAUGUUCUUCAGAAAUGAAAACUUUCUUAGACUUAGCAAUAAGAGGAGCUUUUCUACUUGUGACUGUUAACUAACAACUUAUGCAUGUCAGAAUUAGGGUAACCAACUAGGAAGAAUUUCGUAUAUAUUAUGUAGUCAACCUAAUUUUAACCAAUGACCUGUAUAUACAACUUUUUCCUGCAUACGAAUUCUUUAUUUAAAAUAGAAAAUCUUUUUAUUAUUUUAAUAAACUUUAUUGCAGGUUUCAUAAAACUGUUUUGAGGAUGUGGCAUUUACUAUCACAUCUUGAAAUAUAUGUAAUAGAUCCUCUGUUCAAAACUUCUCAGAUUCAAACUGCUUUUUUUUCUUUUUAUAAAGUGACAACUGUAAAGACUACCAGUUAGCCUAGAAAUUUGCUUUGUCAAAAAAGGCACUGAAACUGAGUUUUAUUACAGCGUCAUGAGGGUCUCCCAGCCAUUAGAAGUUAUAUUUCUCCUCAACUAUAUAAAUUAAAAGAGACACAAAUGAUAAAGCCAAUUUAAAAAAAAAUAUUAUUGAAAGAGGAGUUGCAUGCAGUAGUAGUUAUUAUUAUGAAAGAAGUAGAUUUUAACAACGUAAGCAUACUAUCUUUUAUUUUGGAGAAGUGCUUGAGCUUCAUAUGUUGACUCUACUCUGUUUUCCAGCUUUUGACUGCAAAAACAUAGAUUCACUUUUAAGUCAUAUUAGAGGUGCGAAUUGAGAACAAUUCAUAUCCUUUUUAGAGAAGAUAUUAAAGCCUUCUCCUUAUGGUAGAAAAUUGUUGAUUCAUCGCCGACAUUAUUUAAUGUAGCGAGAAAUCCUACUCUUUCUUAGUUUUCACAAAAUAAUGCGGAUCAUCUAUAUUUUUCUAUUAAAGCGGUUGCUAAUAUGGAUGGAAAAAAAAGGUGGCAUCACAAACCCAUGCUUGCUUGCAGUUGGCUACAUUUUUUGCUGCAUAUUGAUCCAAAACUCAGAAAUAUCGGGGAUAUGGUUACAAAUAUUUCUCUUUAUGAACGAUAUUGCUCUGGAGUUAAAAGAGACUCAACCGUCCUUAUCUUACCUCCUCUUAUAAAAAUAGUAUAAUCCAGUGGCAAAGACAACACAGGCAUAUUAUACUUAUUAAAAAAGAAGUCACGCAUAUUAUUUUUUUAUUUGAUGAAUAUGGAUCAGUGCGAUGCCAUAUCUUACGCUGAACAAACUUGAUGCAUUUUGAACAAAAAUAUUUUUUAUGUGCUUAAAGUGCUGCUUUAUGGGUUGCGACUCUGAAACUUACAAUUUGAAUGAUAGUAAUACUAGCUUGAAGCUUUGUACUUUGGCAUUGAGUGUGUUAUACUUUCAAUAUCCGUACUUAUAAUUGCAGUGUGUUCCAUAUUUUGUGGACCUUCUGACUGUUUGCCAUUGUUUUUCUGAACUAUUUUUGGUUUAAAACUUUUCUUGCUCCUCUUAAAAGAUUAAAGCUGGAGCAUAUUGUUCGUGUUGAGCAGAAAAUCUUUUGCAGCUCAUCAAGAUAGUUGUUUUUCUACGGACAACUCCUUUUAAGGCUAUCAAUUUCCAUUCUUAUGAAAACUACAACGAAUAUUUGCUCAAAUUACUUGGCAUUGAGGAGGUAAUUAAUUUGAAAAGAUUUGUUCCUGGUACUGGUGCAAGAAUUACAGCCCUCUGCAUGCCUAUGGUCAAUUGGUGUAAAUAGCUGAAGCAAGCGACAACAAUACCUGAAAAGAAAAUAAAAAUGAAUCCUCAACUAUAUAAUUACUUGCAGAUAAUGGAUGGGAGAAAUUGCAUAUGAAGAGAAAUAUUUUUAGCAAGAACUGCUCAACCCUACUCUUGAAUUAAAUGUUUUGUGAGCUUUUUAUGUUAUUAAUAUUAAACUAUAGUAUUCA